rnacentral:tRNA from 1 species
GCUUGUGUAGCUCAGGGGUAGAGCACGUCCUUGGUAAGGACGAGGUCGUGGGUUCAAUUCCCACCACAAGCU